rnacentral:rRNA from 1 species
AGCGAACGCUGGCGGCAGGCCUAACACAUGAAAGUCGAACGGAUCCUUCGGGAUUAGUGGCGGACGGGUGAGUAACACGUGGGAACGUGCCCUUUGGUUCGGAACAACUCAGGGAAACUUGAGCUAAUACCGGAUGUGCCCUUCGGGGGAAAGAUUUAUCGCCAUUGGAGCGGCCCGCGUCUGAUUAGCUAGUUGGUGAGGUAAAGGCUCACCAAGGCGACGAUCAGUAGCUGGGCUGAGAGGAUGAUCAGCCACAUUGGGACUGAGACACGGCCCAAACUCCUACGGGAGGCAGCAGUGGGGAAUCUUGCGCAAUGGGCGAAAGCCUGACGCAGCCAUGCCGCGUGAAUGAUGAAGGUCUUAGGAUUGUAAAAUUCUUUCACCGGGGACGAUAAUGACGGUACCCGGAGAAGAAGCCCCGGCUAACUUCGUGCCAGCCGCCGCAGUAA